rnacentral:tRNA from 1 species
CAGGGUGUAGCGCAGCUCGGUAGCGCAUCUGUUUUGGGAACAGAGGGUCACAGGUUCAAAUCCUGUCACCUUGA